UUAAGCUACAAAAAGAAUUAUCAGAAGUUACUGGAGCACCCUAUUUAGAGGAAAGCAUAACCAGAGACUAUCACGACAGGUUUAAUUGAAAAAGGAAACCUGGUUUACACAGCAGAAAAAUAUUUGGACAGCACCUGUUCAGUUUGGCCGAAGAGGAGGAAUGGAGAUUAAAAUGAAGGAGAAACCAAUGCCACAAUUAAAGAAAAACAGCAGCAGCCCAGAUAAAAUUAAAUAUUAACUGGAAACAUUUUGAGUAAUUUAUGAUGUGAGUAGAGAUGUUCAUCUACUUACCUGUAAUACAGUGACUGAGAAUGAAAGGUGUAAUACAAGAGGAGAGAUGAUCCAGUUAGGUAUACUAGUAACCAAGCACAUUGCAACUUGGAGCACCGUUCCUGUAAGAUAAUUGUAAAGACAUAUUACAGUCCUUAUCUCAGUAUCAGUGUCUUAAAUAUAUCUCCAAAGCACAAAGUCUGCUGCACCUGAACAGACUUACUACUAGAGGAUUCGAUCUUAGUGAUUUUAGGUCAAAUAAAAUAGGAGAACUCAAUGGAAAGGUAAAGCAGUAAUUUUAAUGUUUUCAGCAUAACAAUUUCUAUGUGUAUCAUGGUUUCUUCUAAAAACACAACCAAAAUCCAACCCACUCUGAAAGAACAACAAGUUUUCCUUUGGCAGUGAAUGGAGACAACUGAAAGUUUGAAACUGUCAACUGCUAUUUGAUUCCACAAAUACAGUUAAGAAGUUCUCCCAUAAAUUCCAAAAAGCUUAUAUCAGUUGAAGUGAUUUCAGUGUUCAAAGUCAAGAGGGGCAAGGGGGAACUCUUUUUGAAUUUUGCAAACCUUACUUAUCUGAGAAGCUCUACACUGUACAGAAGCAUUAAGACUUGACUUCCAUCUUGAAGCCUUGACACCUAAUAUUAUUAGGUAAAAAAACAGUAUCUCCAUUCACAUUUCUUUCAAAAAUUGAUGGAUAAAGGUUAACUUACAGAAUUUUGUUGCAUAGGGUGAUACUUACUCUUAGAAAAACCUGAUUUACUAUGCUUUUGUUUGCAUACAUAUAAGUUGUUAGCAGCCCAAUUCCAAGAGAAAUGCCUAUUAGGAAAAAAGGGUCAGUUAUACACAAGAAAAUGAAAAAAAAUUACUAAAGUGGGUUAAAAAACCAGCCACUUCUAAUAUGUCUUUGUAAUUACAAUUAAUAGCUCAGACUAUCAAGCCAUAAUAAUUAAGCACAUUGUACAUAUGCCAGCAAAGGAGACAGAAGCCACUGAAAUGUAGUUUGGUAAGUCUCUCUUUCUGAUGAAUAAAGCAAAUAAAGCUAAAAAUAAAUUUAAUUAUAUUUCAGGCAUGGUUAUUAGUAUUUCUCUUUGGGAGAGGGUCUGUUCCCUCAGACCUUAUUUUGUUAUACUCUACCAAUUAUAUGCUGCAUGAUCAAUUUGACACACAGAAUCAAGAUAUACGGCAGACUUUUGUGCAGCCACUGGAGGAGGUAUCUGAGCUCUGAGAGGGAGCUGCCGCUGUGUUCCUCUGAGUCUGGAGUGGAGUCGUCAAGCCCCCCUGCUUCGCUGUGGGCAUGUCCGUGUGAGCGACUUUGGGAACCCGGCCUUGAAUGCCGGGAACUUGCAUUUUCUCUGGCUUCUCCCACAGCAGAGUUUAGCUGUAUGCGAACAUCUCCGCUAAGAUGGCAUGAGCUCUCUCCUGACAACCUCACUGCGUGGGCGCUCUGAGAAGAUGAAGAGUCAUCACCACUCCCUUGGAUGUUGUGGAGAUGACUGCAGUUUGGUUGCAUGGUGGGAGUUUUUUCUGGUCCAGAUUCUUGCUAUUUUGUCUCCUAGAGUGGGAUAUAAAAAGUCACAGGUGAAGGAAGAGAGAACUAGUUCAAGGGGAAAAAAAAAAACCCACAACAAAAAACCCAACACCAAAAUACAACAGAUUGUACUGAGUGAUUGCCUGCAUGAAGUAAAGAUUCUCUCUCUGAGAGAGAUUGUUUGUCUUCAUUCUGAAAGCUGGAAUGCUGGGUUUGCACCCUGUUCUCCAUGGGGCAGUUUUCUAUGUGCCGUAUUAAAUGACUUCCUUUCAUUCACGUGUAGAUUUUCUAGCCUGCAGUGAAUCUGGCUGCCUUAGUAAAAUCUAAAGUUGCUUCAGCGCAAAUCAGAACAGCAAAAGCUGCUAAAUAGGAGACCAGCACUACCUUGUACAGAAGAGAUCUUAGAAGUGCUGCAUAAUUUCACAAAAAUACAAAGAGUUGUAGGCCAAAGAAGGAGCAAACAAUGAUGGGAAGGAAGCAGAGUACAUUUACAUGCAUCCAUAAAAUGGUAAGCAUUUGUUCAGGGACAAGUCUAGUCAAAAGCCAGUGCAUGCUCAAAAUUGAGGGCCAUUAUGAGAUUAACAAGAUUAUCCUGUCUGGGUGAGCAGAACCAGGUUAGUCCAUUUUCUAAGCAGCAUUUAAAAAAGCCUGGACCAUAUGGGCUAGGUGAAAAAAUAAGUGCAGCCAACAAGCCGUAAUCUAACAGUGAGACCACCCAAAUGAGGUUUUAUUUCUUUCUGCUGACAUCUUUCUGUUGUCUUCUAGGGCAGUUUUUCACUUCUGUGUCAGUCUUUACAUUUGUCAAAUAGUGUUAAAUAUACUUCUCUGGACUGGUGUUACGUGAGGGUAAUGGUUUUGGAGAAUGCUUUGAAGCCAGAUUUGGCACAAUACUUGUUGCUAUCGAAUAAUAUUAUUGAGACAUCGGGAAUUUUGUUAUAAUCCUUUUUCAGUAGUUCAAACUCUUCCAGAUUCCUCUCUGAAAUUAUUUUUUCCAAAGCUUAGCAUACAUACACAGCUAGUUUCACUGGGGAUACAAAAAGUUUAAAGCAAAAUUGAUUUUGCACUGCAGGAAGUUUUUGAUAUAUUUGCACAAACCUAGAAUUCUUUAGCCUUUAAAAUGGAAAUUAGAUUAGAUGAGUCAAUUGCAUGAAUUUAAACAAUAUCCGAAUAGGGGAACUUACCACCAUUUAGAAAUGCUGCUGCUACUACUGUAUUUUUGUUGGCCAAAGAUUACAUCAUACUUUAAUCCAGCCAAGAUUCAUGUUCUGUAAUUUUAUGCACAUGAAUAAAGCCAAUAAACUGGAGAUAGUAUUGA